UCCAGCUCAACAAUCAGUCUUCCCUAUAUUUAAGUGUAUCUGUCAACUUUAGAACUCCCUCUUCAUCUAUCCAGAAGUCACCCUAUCAGAACAUCCAGCUGUUUCUUAAGUGAUUUCAGGUCACCUGACAAGAUGAAAAAACUCAGAAAAACUUUCCUCAUAGGUCAGUCCUCAGCAAGCACAUCAAUCUCUGCACCACUUCCAAGAUGCUGCCUGACCUGUAGAAUACCCAGAAUGAAAAAACAGUAAAACUGAG